rnacentral:rRNA from 1 species
AUGCACGCUGGCGGCGUGCCUAAUACAUGCAAGUCGCGCGAACAGACGAGGAGCUUGCUCCUCUGACGUUAGCGGCGGACGGGUGAGUAACACGUGGAUAACCUACCUAUAAGACUGGGAUAACUUCGGGAAACCGGAGCUAAUACCGGAUAAUAUAUUGAACCGCAUGGUUCAAUAGUGAAAGACGGUUUUGCUGUCACUUAUAGAUGGAUCCGCGCCGCAUUAGCUAGUUGGUAAGGUAACGGCUUACCAAGGCAACGAUGCGUAGCCGACCUGAGAGGGUGAUCGGCCACACUGGAACUGAGACACGGUCCAGACUCCUACGGGAGGCGGCAGUAGGGAAUCUUCCGCAAUGGGCGAAAGCUUGACGGAGCAACGCCGCGUGAGUGAUGAAGGUCUUCGGAUCGUAAAACUCUGUUAUUAGGGAAGAACAAAUGUGUAAGUAACUAUGCACGUCUUGACGGUACCUAAUCAGAAAGCCACGGCUAACUACGUG